rnacentral:lncRNA from 1 species
GUAGAAGGUAAGAGAACUGUGAAAGAUGCUUAAGCUGGAAGAAAGUUCUGUGUUGCAUAUAUUGAAGUUCUAGAAACUCAGACAUGAAAUUGAAAUUCCUGUCACUUUGAUACUGGCUUGUGAUGGGAAUGCAGCCAUGACUAGAGUGCUGUGUCAUGCUGGAGAACUCAAAGGACCUAAUACCAAAAACUGCUGUUGAAAUACAAGAUCAAGUUAUUUUCGGUUCUCAGUAACGAUGGACCUGAAAUAUAUUUGAAUAAUGGAGGCGUCAGCUGCUGAGAAGAAAACUCACAAAGGGAAAGAAGAUUUGCAACAAUAUCAUCAGAAACCUGCAAACUGCAAGAAAUUGCUUAGCAAUUGCUGCUUGAUAAAGCGAAUUUUUGCCUGGAAAAGUUUGAGCUCCAAAGUUUAUUGCUGCUGUUGCCUUUCUUGA